GAUUAACGCUGGCGGCGUGCCUAACACAUGCAAGUCGAACGAGGUAGCAAUACCUAGUGGCAGACGGGUGAGUAACGCGUGGUCAACCUACCGUUGAGUGGGGGAUAACUAGCCGAAAGGUUAGCUAAUACCGCAUACGUCUCCGAGGGGCAUCCCUUGGCGAUAAAAGGAGCAAUCCGCUCGAUGACGGGACCGCGUCCCAUUAGCUAGAUGGUGGGGUAACGGCCUACCAUGGCACCGANGGGUAGCUGGUUUUGAGAGAGCGACCAGCCACACUGGGACUGAGAAACGGCCCAGACUCCUACGGGAGGCAGCAGUGAGGAAUUUUUCCGCAAUGGGCGCAAGCCUGACGGAGCGACGCCGCGUGUGGGAAGAAGGCC
rnacentral:rRNA from 1 species